GCCCGUUGCAUCGGUUUUUACAUUGUUAAAUUAAAUCUUUCCCAUCUUUGUGCGCUUUUAAUAGGCUGGUAUAUAUCAGUACUAAUCUAGAGCUAAAUUACGCAUCGGAAUAAUUAUUUGGACAGUUAUUUCCUCAGAGCGAUCGUAUUUUACAGUUUAUAAUGUUACUUUAUAAACGGAACUGAUUACGUGUCAGUUUAUAGGGACGGCACUGAUUGCGUGAGGCGAGGACAAAAAGUAAGUCAUGAAGUGCGAAGAGGGCUCACUUAGCCGUUAUUUAAACUGGUAUUACGUAAGUGCAGAAUGGCAGUGUUCUGUCGUAAAGCCUCAUAAUAGCCGGCAUCUCCUGGCUGGUCUUUCCGAGCCACGUGACCGGCUGCGGCUCUGCAUACUGCCGCAGAAACACAGCACGUACGACUGCGCUCGCUUAAAGUCCCAGCAGUGGACACCAUCUCCGUGAACAACUGUCCAAAAAAAUUAAAGCAGCGUCGAUUUCUGUUGAGCCUAUUCGUGUAACAAAUUAUUAGAGUUCUAAAUUAUCCCAGUCCAUAAGUCCGUUAUGGUCUACGUACUGUGAACUAGGGCGCUUACGACGAAAGCGCAGUAAAGGAAAAAAAAGUUUAUGAAAGGCUUUUUGGCUGGUGGUUGUGUAAUAGUAGAUAUUUGAAGUAGACUCGCUGUAGAUGGCACUGAAUUACUAUCAGACCAGUCUCCGCUUCACUACUGUGUCGUUCUUUUGUUACUUCAACAUAUUCUUUUCUGGAAAAGCAGCUGUGUUAUUAUUUAGUCAAAUGCUGAGCUUGUGAUUCUGCAUGUUACUUCAAACUGUUGCCCUGCUUGCUCUCUGCAUGUUGCUUGUGCCGUACUAAUGUUCCCCUUGUUUUAAGGCACAGUUGGUAAAACUUCUUAAGACGUUUUCCCUUUGCUAGACCCAUACUUACUUUCGUACUUCGAGCUAAUUGGUUAAAAUUAAAGGCUUUAUAGAUAAUUGCUUCUAAUCGCUAUAAUUAUUGUAGUGUGUAGUUUGAGUCAUACUUCACUGAAUUUGCUUUCACUAUGUUCUGCGUCGGUCUUUACACUCUUAAGUGCAUGCCACAGAUCUAGCAUUUCAGUGUCAUUCCCCAACUCUCGCAUACUGUUCUCAAGUGUGCGCACUUAUUUAGCUCCAGACUUAACGACAAGAUCCAGUCAUUAAGCUAUGCGUCUUACGACGUAAUGAAAGUACGGACCGACUAUUUUCAUCUCUCAGAGCAGCUUAUCGAGCUUAUAGAUUUGCAGCCCUGUUGGCCUCAGUGGGCUGUUAUGCAGGGUCACGUAUUUCUUAAGAGGUUGUUAAUUAACAAGUAUCUCGGAGCUUUUCUCGUACCUGUUCUGUAUGUUACUUGACUCACGUUGUGAUGUUUGUCUCCGAGGAAAGAAUGACUCCAUGCUGCCGGUCUGAUAAAGAUUUUCACGAACAGUCAGAUAGCAUACCAACUAUGCGCACACAGCCCGGAGAUGUAAAAAUCGGCUCCACAGUCACUAGCUCCUGGUUUAAGACUCGCGACCUUCUUUUCCUAUACGCAUUUACAGUAUUCGUGCGAAAAUAAGCGAAUACAAUCGGCCUGAUGUACACUUUGAAAGGUCGACUGUAAAUGUGUCGAGUUGAUACGCCACGUAGGGUCAUUACCCCGGUUGCACACAGCGCGAAUAGUUGAGACUGCUGUCCCCGUGGCGCUUGCACAGCUUAUAACUGCUAGCGUGCGUGCGUGCAUGCAUGCGUGUGUGUGGUGUGGUGUCCCGCUCCGCCCCGCCCCGUCCUGUUUGCUGUUCUGCUGGGCUGGCAUGCGCGAGCGAAUAGGCACAGUGCCGGGACCCGUGCCAGAGGCGCGUUUACACGGCCUUCAGAAUUCUGUAAAUGCACUAUCUGGUACGACACCCCGGCACUACCCACCACCUGUCGGCCUGCCGCCGCCGCCUCGACGAUCUGCCAACUGAACCAAACCGCGAACCGGACAGUCGUUGUACGACGACUUGUAUUCUUGAGUGUGCUACACCCAAAACUUAGUGAAUGGAUGCACAAAGUUUACGAGGUAUAUGACUCGCUUUCUAUCUGUGGUAUCGUCAACGACUUUAAAAGCAUCUUCCAUAAAUUCAGGCGACUCACCUGAGUAUUGUCAGUGUUGGAAUUGUGUAGAACAAUUUUA